GAGAUAGUGAAUUCCUUCGGGAACACUUAGACAGGUGGUGCAUGGUUGUCGUCAGCUCGUGUCGGGAGAUGUUGGGUUAAGUCCCGCAACGAGCGCAACCCUUACCUUUAGUUGCUACGCAAGAGCACUCUAAAGGGACUGCCGUUGACAAAACGGAGGAAGGUGGGGAUGACGUCAAAUCAUCAUGCCCCUUAUGACCUGGGCUACACACGUACUACAAUGGCGAUUAACAAAGAGAAGCAAGACAGUGAUGUGGAGCAAAUCUCAAAAAAUCGUCCCAGUUCAGAUUGCAGGCUGCAACUCGCCUGCAUGAAGUCGGAAUUGCUAGUAAUCGUGGAUCAGCAUGCCACGGUGAAUACGUUCCCGGGUCUUGUACACACCG
rnacentral:rRNA from 1 species